rnacentral:ncRNA from 2 species
UAUACGUAAGGGACAACCUUUCGUAUAUCCCCGGCAAUAUGGGCCGGGGGUCUCUACAGGAGACCGUAAAUCUCCGGCUACGAACGGGCAGGUGAAGUGU